UUGUGAUUUAGAGGUGCAAUCUUCAUCAGUAUACUUUUAGAGGCUACGAGGCUCGUGAUAGGAGUAGAAAGGGGAGAUUGCCGAAGUCGGUUACUACUCGUAUAGUAAAUCGGUUGGUGUCGUUGCUGAAUAAGGGCGGUACUGUCAUAAGGAACUCGUAGUUGCUUAUGGAGCGCUAUUUCACAG
rnacentral:ncRNA from 1 species